rnacentral:rRNA from 1 species
AUGGAGGAGGGGGAGCGGGACGACGGCUUCCUCAACGUGCUGCGGGCGCUGCGCGACGCCGCGCGGACCGUCGAGGCCGGGGACGACGACGGCCCGGCGCUGCGGGCGCUGCUCGCGCUCGAGGCCGCCGCCCACGACCUGCUCGCCGCCGACCCCGAGCUGCACCCGCUCUGCCGCCUGCUCGCCACCAUCAGGGCGCUCUCCUGGUGCGCCUCCGAGGAGGCGGCCGGAGGCGGGGUGGUUGGGGGACUGCGGGCCCGGUGCCGGCGGUGCAAGGCGAGGCGGGGGAUCGCGCGCGCGGCCGGGGGCGUCGCGGCGGAGAUCCAGGCCUGGGCGGACCGCGAGCUCGCCGCGCGCCUCGUGGCCGCGCUGAGGGAGCAGGGCAGGGCCGACUCCCGGGCGCGCGCGCUGCUGGCGGAGCUGGAGGCGCGGCUGCUGGGGGCGGGGGCAGCGGGGCGGUUCGACGCGCGGCUGCAGGACGCGGUGCUCCGGCACGGCGUGUUCGGCGCGGUGGAGGCGCGGCUCGGGGCCCCGGGCGAGGUGGGCGACGGGUGCGCGGCGGCGGCGCUGGCGCUGGUGCGGUUCAACCGGGACGUGUUCGUGGGGCCGGUGCUGAUGGGCCCGGCCGUGGGCGCGCUGGUGACCGCCGCGGCGUCCCACGCCUCGCCGGCGGCCCUGCGCGCGCUCAACGGGCUGGUGGCGGCGAUCCGGACGCCGCUGGUGGACGAGCUGCACGCGCGCGGGGAGCUCCCGCGGCUGGUGGCCCUGCUCUGCGCCGCCGACCCUAGAACGCGCGCGCCCGCGCUGGAGCUCUGCCUCCGCGUGGCCUACUACGGCCGGCGCGAGGUGCUGGACGCGCUCCUCGCCGAGGGCCUCGUCAAGCGCCUCCUCUGCCUCCAGCGCACCGCCGCGGACGCCGACACAAACACAACGGACGAGGAGGAGAGGACGAUGGCGUCGAGCGCGGUGGCGCGGUUGGCGGUGCAGGUGGAGACGGGGCAGGGGCUGCGGCCGCGGGAGAAGCGCGCGGCGAAGCUGGAGAUCCUCCGGCGCGUGCGGGAGGCGGCCGUGUCGCCCGCCGAGGAGGCCGCCGUGCUCACCUCGGUGCUCUGGGGCGCCACGCCGUAG